CCACAAAAUAUCAUCACAUGGCAAAUAAAUGCAAGUCCAAUAUUUUCCUCUCCCACACUUAAACUUCACAUUGUCCUCAAUGUAAGAAAAGGAAAAUAAAUAAAGAGUAAAAGAAAAAACUGCUCAAUUGAACUUGCGUAAUCAGAAUCCAUGGCCAAGUGACGAAUUUCCAACCAUAAGAAGUCUGAAAACAUAGAUGAAGACCACUUGGAUUAGUUCACACAUAAGAAAAAAUGAAAACCACUAAAAGUUAAACAUCACAAAUACAACCGAAAAUAAAAGAAAAACUAGUGACAAUGUCACGAGGUGAUGAACACUCCCUCAAGUAGUCGCUUGGUCAGGUGAAGAUGGUGGAGUCGGAGGAGCUUCAAUACCCAGCUUGGUUUCAAUGCGACGAAGACGCUCGGAGUUCCGUUUGUUCUCUUGGCGGCUCUUCUUCACCUCAGCCUCGACGCAAAGCAACUUAUCCAUUAUCUUCUUCAAAAACAACCGAGUGUCCUGAGGUGAGGAUGGACGACGGGAGGGAGACGGCUCAGUUGUUUCAACCCCUUGAGCUCCUUCAAUACGUUCAAUCUCAGCUUCCUCCUCGUGUCGAAUGUCUCCUUGAGCACCUUCUUGAGUUGAAGGACCACCUACUUCUUUACUUUUCAGAAUGAACCUGUAAAAAUCCAGUGUAAAGACAUCUUUCUUCUUGAGACCCGUAGGGAUAGUGUUAGAAAAAUCCACUCCAACCCUUUGAAACUCCAAGGUCAAAAACUGAGGAUAUGGGAAAGCAUGUUUGAUAUCGUUACUGCGAACCACUGUCCACAUGUGGUUGGUGAUAAUGCUUCCCAAUGGAAUGCCUCGGAUGUUACUUAGACCAUGCUCCAUUUUAUCCAAGAAAUAGAUGUCGCUUGUGCGCACUGUCGCGCCCCAUUUUUCGUGAUGGAAAAAUAUAAGUAUAAAAAUAGGUAUUUACAAAAUAUGUAAUCUUAUUUUAAAAUAAAUGAAAAAGGACCUAGAAUGGGACUUUAAAGAAUGCGACAAUUUGGGUCCAAAAUUUAGUCUAAAAGGGUUUUUAAGAAAAAAUAGGAGUCGCCACUUGGUAUGAAAUUUUGGUGUACCAAGUCACCCAAAAAAUAAAGUAAAAUAAAAUAAAAUAAAACCCUUUUUGACAACUCCAGGUCUUUGUAAACAAGAGAAAAUGGAUUCGGGAGUCACGGUUGAAGAAAGGGAAGGCAAAGGUUCGAUUAACUCAAACCUAAGGCACCCUUUCAACCUAGUCUAAACUAGUUGCGAGAUUUAGUCAAAAUUUUCCUAAUCUAACCCUUAAUUUAUCACAUUUGGAUGUUUCCUACAUGAAUGCAAAUCUAAAUAUAAAAAAAAUAUCGAAAGGGGCAACAUGUUCAUUCAAGGGUUUAAUUGAACCAAUCGCAUUAAUUGCGAAGGCCAAAAUGAUUCCUUGAAAGUGUCACGAGUAUGUAAAUGAUGAAAUUAAAAUAAAAGAAAAGAAAUUAAAUUAUAUACAUAUAUAAGUGAUCAAAGAAAAAGGGAAUGCAACAUAAAGGGUAUGGGAGGCAAAAACUCGUGACAUAAUUUUCUUAUACAGGGAUUAAUGGGGCAUUUAAACUAAAAAGUUAUAAUCACCCAUUUCCCAUAUUUGAAAAAUAAUUCUCCUAAUAUGCACAAACAAAUGAGCUAACUUAUUAUACAAUAUCCUAAAUGAAAUGCAAUUCUAAAUGACAUGAUUAACACAUAUAGAGGAUAGGGGAUAAUAUAAUAGGAAAUAUCAUGCAAAUGGGAAAAGAUCCUAAAAAUGAAAAUAUGCGUGAAAAUGUAAUGAAUAUCACACAAAAAUGAAUCUAACGCACGAACGAUCUAAGGGUCUAGCGUUGGACUAACCCAUUUCUAAAAAUCCUUACUAGCGUUGGACUAGCAAGUAAACGGAGGGAGAAACCACAACUAGCGUUGGACUAGUGUGGUGACGUCAUGCAUUUUUAAUACAUAAUAAGACAAGUAGACAUAAAUUAAAACAAAUAAACACAUAAGAGCACGUAGCACGUAACACAUAAGCGUAAUAUCUAGAUGCAAAAAUCCUAAGGAAAGCAAGUAAGGCACGUAACACAUAAGCCACAUAAUCACACAACCUAUCUAUUACAUCGGGGAGCGCCUAACUACAAUCUAAAAGGGGAAAUAAAAUAAAACAAAUCUAAUUAUCCUAUCUAUUACAUUUUUGAGGUAUUUAAAUGCCUCUCAAAUAAUUAUAAAAUUAACUAAAAAAGUAUAAGAAAAUUUAAAUGAUCAUUCAAAUCAAAUAAACAAAGCAUAUAAAAAUAUAUAAACAUAUAGGAGCACGUAAGAGCACAUAAGAGCACGUAAUUAACAUUGAAAUAAUAAUAAUGAGGUACCUCCCUUUUGAAGUGGUGACUAAAUGGAGUCAAAUUGUCCUAUUUAUACUCACAAUGAACAAAAGAAUCAUGGCACCAAUUUAAUUUUAAAAAAAAACAAUAAUAAUAAAAGUACUAAGCUCACGCUAAUAUGUCAAACAUAAAGAAAUUUAAAAUAUCUAAAAAUUACAAGUUGAAUAUGUUCAAAAGUAACAUAAUUAGUUAUUGAAGAAAAGAAAACAAUCAUAAUAAAGAGAGCCAAAAUUUGUCAAGGACUGAAUUACAAAAAGUUGAAAACUUUUGGGGGACAAAAAUUAUAUUUUCCAAAGUUCAGGGGUCCAAAUUAAAUGAAAGAUAAAAUUCAGGGACCAAAGUGAAAUUAAUUUAAGGACCGAGUUGAAAGGAAUUUAAAAUGUUCUGGGCCGCAGUGAAAGUACUUGAAAGUACAGGGACUGAAGUGCAAGUUCGUUUCUGAUUUGGGCAAGAAGAGGGCAUCGGGCCUCCCUUUUUAUUUUACUUGGGCCAAACCUACCUAAGCCCAACUGAAAACCCAACCUAAAACACACAGGCCAGCCCGUCUUUUAUCACUCAAACCCAACCAAAAUAUAUGGACUCAAAACUCUUAGCCCAACCGAAACCCAAAAGAAAAUAAACCAAAACCCAUUUUCAUAACCCAACCAAAACUAACUCUUGCCCAACCGAAAUAAAACAUUAGCCCAAACCCCUUUUUUCUUUCUUUCUUUUCUUUCUCUUUUCUUCCCCAUACGUUUCCUUUCCUUCUUCUUCGGCCAACCGAAGAAGCUUCAGCUGGUAGCCAUGGUGGCGGCGCCACCGGACCGCCGGUCACCGGCGACUUUUCCAAUGGCCAAAAUUUCUCAAAAUACAUCUUUCCAGUCCAUUUUUCGCGUAGGUUCCAUUUCCGGAGUUAAUUUUUACAAAAGAUGACCCGAAGGUGACCGAAAAGCAAAAAGCCAGUCCAGUUUUUUAUUUUUUAAAACACUAUAAUCUUCACCAAAAAUCUUAAAAAUUAUGCCAAAACCCUCCUUAUAACUUCUACAUUACAACUAUAAUCUAAGUUGAACAAGAAAACAACAUAAAAAGGCUGAAUUAAGGCAAAACAGUCCCUAAAAUUCUUUUUGGCAUUUUUUCAAACAAUUAACAUGCAUUCACAGAAAUCAUCUUUUCCUUAAUGUUUAUUCAUGGCUUUACCCCAAAAUUUCAACAACACCAGCAGCAACAACAAGAAAACAGCAGGAACAACCAAUAAUACAUGAAUUCAACACGAUAAAGAAAAAAAAACAGGAAAUAGUUCAAUGGAAGUGUUGAUACCUCUUAUGACCUUAGUUAAAAUUGUUGAUGAAAUUCCAAUCUCCUCGCGUCCGAUUGCUUGCUUUCUUGUGCUUGAUUCUGUGUGUGUAUAUUAGGAAAAGAGAGGGAGCCGAAUGGAAAGAGGAGUUUUUCUUUUUUUUUUUCUUGUUAUGGCUUGUCUUCUGUCCUGUGGGAGAGAGCCGAGAGAGGAGAUUUUUGUAGCCAACAGUAGAGCCUUUUUUGUGUGUGUUUUUUUUUCCUCCUUUUCCCCCAGAGAGAGCCGAGUGAUGUCUUGACUAGGAGUGUUAAGUUGGGCCAAAUGAUGAUUUUUUCUUCCAAAGACAAGAAGUAUGCAUGGGCUAUCAAUGAUGAAUUUUUUACCAAAAUGGGAAGAAAUGUUAAUGAGGAUGGAGUGUAAAAAUGGGUUAAUAGUGGUUCUGAUGAAACAAAAUGAUUAGAAUGAUUUUUUUUAUUUUCUUAAUUUUCCUUCUUUUGUUUUGUUUUGUUUGUUUGUUGUUUUUUUUUU
rnacentral:lncRNA from 1 species